rnacentral:rRNA from 1 species
UACGAAGGGGGCUAGCGUUGUUCGGAAUUACUGGGCGUAAAGGGCGCGUAGGCGGCCGAUCAAGUUAGAUGUGGAAGUCCUGGGCUUAACCUGGGGACUGCAUUUGAUACUGAUUGGCUUGAAUUCGGGAGAGGAUAGCGGAAUUCCCAGUGUAGAGGUGAAAUUCGUAGAUAUUGGGAAGAACACCGGUGGCGAAGGCGGCUAUCUGGACCGACAUUGACGCUGAGGCGCGAAAGCGUGGGGAGCAAACAGG